GGCAGUCGCGGUGCUUACGGCAUCGAGGAAGGUCCGGACUCCACAGAGCGGGGUAACGGCUAACGGCCGUCCACCGGGGCGAUGCGCAGCAAUGCGUCCGCCAAGGUGAGGAAUAGGGCCACAGAGACGAGACUGCGGCGCGGGCACAUUAUGUGUGCACUGACACGGCGACUUCCGUGUUGCGUAUUGGGGCAACCCGGUGCGGCGCAGCAGGGUGAAACGCGGUAACCUCUACCCGGAGCAACAUCAAAUAGGCAUACGCCUGGCCUUGUGCCAAAAGAGCGGCUCGCUCGAGUAUGCGGGUAGAUGGCUAGAGCACGGCAGCAAUGCC
rnacentral:RNase_P_RNA from 1 species